GGUUAAGCGACUAAGCGUACACGGUGGAUGCCCUGGCAGUCAGAGGCGAUGAAGGACGUGCUAAUCUGCGAAAAGCGUCGGUAAGGUGAUAUGAACCGUUAUAACCGGCGAUGUCCGAAUGGGGAAACCCAGUGCAAUUCGUUGCACUAUCGUUAACUGAAUACAUAGGUUAACGAGGCGAACCGGGGGAACUGAAACAUCUAAGUACCCCGAGGAAAAGAAAUCAACCGAGAUUCCCCCAGUAGCGGCGAGCGAACGGGGAGCAGCCCAGAGUCUGAAUCAGCUUGUGUGUUAGUGGAACGGUCUGGAAAGUCCGACGGUACAGGGUGAUAGUCCCGUACACCAAAAUGCACAGGCUGUGAACUCGAAGAGUAGGGCGGGACACGUGGUAUCCUGUCUGAAUAUGGGGGGACCAUCCUCCAAGGCUAAAUACUCCUGACUGACCGAUAGUGAACCAGUACCGUGAGGGAAAGGCGAAAAGAACCCCGGCGAGGGGAGUGAAAAAGAACCUGAAACCGUGUACGUACAAGCAGUGGGAGCACCUUCGGGUGUGACUGCGUACCUUUUGUAUAAUGGGUCAGCGACUUAUAUUCUGUAGCAAGGUUAACCGUAUAGGGGAGCCGCAGGGAAACCGAGUCUUAACUGGGCGUUAAGUUGCAGGGUAUAGACCCGAAACCCGGUGAUCUAGCCAUGGGCAGGUUGAAGGUUGGGUAACACUAACUGGAGGACCGAACCGACUAAUGUUGAAAAAUUAGCGGAUGACUUGUGGCUGGGGGUGAAAGGCCAAUCAAACCGGGAGAUAGCUGGUUCUCCCCGAAAGCUAUUUAGGUAGCGCCUCGUGAACUCAUCUUCGGGGGUAGAGCACUGUUUCGGCUAGGGGGUCAUCCCGACUUACCAACCCGAUGCAAACUACGAAUACCGAAGAAUGUUAUCACGGGAGACACACGGCGGGUGCUAACGUCCGUCGUGAAGAGGGAAACAACCCAGACCGCCAGCUAAGGUCCCAAAGUCAUGGUUAAGUGGGAAACGAUGUGGGAAGGCACAGACAGCCAGGAUGUUGGCUUAGAAGCAGCCAUCAUUUAAAGAAAGCGUAAUAGCUCACUGGUCGAGUCGGCCUGCGCGGAAGAUGUAACGGGGCUAAACCAUGCACCGAAGCUGCGGCAGCGACACUAUGUGUUGUUGGGUAGGGGAGCGUUCUGUAAGCCUGCGAAGGUGACCUGUGAGGGUUGCUGGAGGUAUCAGAAGUGCGAAUGCUGACAUAAGUAACGAUAAAGCGGGUGAAAAGCCCGCUCGCCGGAAGACCAAGGGUUCCUGUCCAACGUUAAUCGGGGCAGGGUGAGUCGACCCCUAAGGCGAGGCCGAAAGGCGUAGUCGAUGGGAAACAGGUUAAUAUUCCUGUACUUGGUGUUACUGCGAAGGGGGGACGGAGAAGGCUAUGUUAGCCGGGCGACGGUUGUCCCGGUUUAAGCAUGUAGGCUGGUUAUCCAGGCAAAUCCGGAUAAUCAAGGCUGAGGUGUGAUGACGAGGCACUACGGUGCUGAAGUAACAAAUGCCCUGCUUCCAGGAAAAGCCUCUAAGCAUCAGGUAACACGAAAUCGUACCCCAAACCGACACAGGUGGUCAGGUAGAGAAUACCAAGGCGCUUGAGAGAACUCGGGUGAAGGAACUAGGCAAAAUGGUGCCGUAACUUCGGGAGAAGGCACGCUGGUGUGUAGGUGAAGCCCCUGCGGGUGGAGCUGAGACCAGUCGAAGAUACCAGCUGGCUGCAACUGUUUAUUAAAAACACAGCACUGUGCAAACACGAAAGUGGACGUAUACGGUGUGACGCCUGCCCGGUGCCGGAAGGUUAAUUGAUGGGGUUAUCCGUAAGGAGAAGCUCUUGAUCGAAGCCCCGGUAAACGGCGGCCGUAACUAUAACGGUCCUAAGGUAGCGAAAUUCCUUGUCGGGUAAGUUCCGACCUGCACGAAUGGCGUAAUGAUGGCCAGGCUGUCUCCACCCGAGACUCAGUGAAAUUGAACUCGCUGUGAAGAUGCAGUGUACCCGCGGCAAGACGGAAAGACCCCGUGAACCUUUACUAUAGCUUGACACUGAACAUUGAGCCUUGAUGUGUAGGAUAGGUGGGAGGCUUUGAAGCGUGGACGCCAGUCUGCGUGGAGCCAACCUUGAAAUACCACCCUUUAAUGUUUGAUGUUCUAACGUUGGCCCCUUACCGGGGUUGCGGACAGUGUCUGGUGGGUAGUUUGACUGGGGCGGUCUCCUCCCAAAGCGUAACGGAGGAGCACGAAGGUUAGCUAAUCCUGGUCGGACAUCAGGAGGUUAGUGCAAUGGCAUAAGCUAGCUUGACUGCGAGCGUGACGGCGCGAGCAGGUGCGAAAGCAGGUCAUAGUGAUCCGGUGGUUCUGAAUGGAAGGGCCAUCGCUCAACGGAUAAAAGGUACUCCGGGGAUAACAGGCUGAUACCGCCCAAGAGUUCAUAUCGACGGCGGUGUUUGGCACCUCGAUGUCGGCUCAUCACAUCCUGGGGCUGAAGUAGGUCCCAAGGGUAUGGCUGUUCGCCAUUUAAAGUGGUACGCGAGCUGGGUUUAGAACGUCGUGAGACAGUUCGGUCCCUAUCUGCCGUGGGCGCUGGAGAAUUGAGGGGGGCUGCUCCUAGUACGAGAGGACCGGAGUGGACGCAUCACUGGUGUUCGGGUUGUCAUGCCAAUGGCACUGCCCGGUAGCUAAAUGCGGAAGAGAUAAGUGCUGAAAGCAUCUAAGCACGAAACUUGCCCCGAGAUGAGUUCUCCCUGAGACUUUAAGUCUCCUGAAGGAACGUUGAAGACGACGACGUUGAUAGGCCGGGUGUGUAAGCGCAGCGAUGCGUUGAGCUAACCGGUACUAAUGAACCGUGAGGCUUAACCUU
rnacentral:rRNA from 1 species